UCUGGGUGUUUGGUCGAUCGAACAAAGGAGCAGGGAAAGAGGGUGAAAACCCUAGCUUCAUGAAUCAAGCAAUUGAAUGCUUAAAUCAAAAGAAAAUCUGAUGCAUGAGCUCAAAUUUCGAAUAGCAAGUUCCAAUUUGUGAAGUGGCGUGAAAGAAGAAGGCUCAAACACUAAGAAAAUGGGAGGCUCGCAAGAUCGAGAUAAAUCCUCAAUCUAGGCGGUCGGACGAUUUGGAGCGAGCACAUGCACACUUAAUGACCAUUAAGCGCUUCCGCU